rnacentral:rRNA from 1 species
UACGAAGGGGGCUAGCGUUGCUCGGAAUUACUGGGCGUAAAGGGCGCGUAGGCGGCACUGUUAGUCAGGCGUGAAAGUCCUGGGCUCAACCUGGGAACUGCGCUUGAUACGGCAGAGCUAGAGGAUGGAAGAGGCUCGCGGAAUUCCCAGUGUAGAGGUGAAAUUCGUAGAUACCAGGAAGGACCAAACAAUUGGCAAAGGCGGUUUCCUAGCAUUAAUUGACGCUAAGGCACGAAAAAGCGUGGGGAGCAAACGGGG